CAGAGUAUAGCUCUUUUAGGAUUUGUUUAGUAGGCUUUCUGAUUCCUACCAGGAUAUCCCCU
rnacentral:snRNA from 1 species